UCAACUUAGCCUCGUCAUGACACCACGUGACCAGCGAAGUCGUUUUUCUGUUAUAAAUGAGCUUCUGGCCACCUCAGCAAGAGAGCAGCUGGGGUAACGACAUCUGAAGAGAAAAGCUCCUAACCAAGGUAGUCAGCGAAACACAAUGAGGGCGCAAACUGUGGUGUACCAAGCUGCCGCCUGCCUCCUGUUUGUCAUGGGAUAUCAAGCCAUGAGGAUUCCUCGCGAUCCAUCAGCUGAAUAUCAGAUAUCAAGUUCGUGCUCCGCUACUGGCGGGACUGUACCGAUAUUACCGAGUGCUGCUCCUCCAAUGACGUGUGCCUCAAGCUACCCCACGAUCCAAUGAAGCCUAACCAACCACCCAAAAAUGGAAGAAACGGCCACUGCGUCUCCAUUCAGGUUGAUGGUCAAACGGACUUACUAAACUCAGGUGAGACUUGCACAGACAGUCACCAGUGCAAGGACCGAUGCUGUCGCGAAAUUUCUGCUCAUCGGUCAAGACACUACGUAUGCGGGAAACCUUACGAUGUACAUGCUCACAGGUGUGUCGCUCAAGCUCUUGGGAAUAACAUUCCAGGUGACAACCUUUAACCUCAACCUGGAGAUUGACUCUCAUGCUGAUGCCGACGGCGUUUGACUCACAAGUUUGUCCCCGUCUGUCGUCUAGUUUUCAUUUAAAUUGGUAUUUAUCAUGUUAAUGAUAUGGCUUGUUACUGUAUGCAGACCUACAGUGUUCAGUCAUAACAAAAAGUUAAAGAAAUAAUUUAAAUAUUACUUCUUAUAGUCAUUACAAUUUCAGUACUUCGGACUUAUUAACAGACAUAGUAACAUCCAGAAUACGUUGCCUCUAACGUCUACAAAAACUUCAUCAUAAGAAAACUUAGUUCAAAGGUGUCAUUGUAUUUCCAGCAUUCAGAGAUUUUAUUUAUUUACUCUUAUGUCCGUGCAAGAAAUUAAAAGACGAAAUAAAUACCGAUCAAAAUAAAA